rnacentral:lncRNA from 1 species
AAAAUUCCUUCACUGCCUUUCAAUAUUGGUUAAGGGAAAUUCCUAAACAAAUCCAUCACUUUGUUUCGCCAUCAUCAUCAGUCCAUCAAAAGAUGAAAUCUUUGACAACAAAUCGUGAUUUUAUUUAUUUUCCUGUUGACAUUUGAACGUGGAUCAUGCACUAACUUUUCUAAGUUCAAAAUUAAUGGAUGCUUCUGAUGUAUUGAAUUUGUUAAUCGCCAUUGGAGUUUGGUGUGCUGCUUAUAUUUCCGUCGCCAUUCUUGCAUCUUUUCGUUUCCUCAAUUCCAUUUGCCCUUGUUAAAUCAUCAAACUCAUUUGGGCCCGCAAGUGGUAAUAGUAGGUUAAUUAAUGUUUGCCCAUCUUUAGUUGCUUUAUUUUUGCUUUAUAUAUUAGAAUUGCUUUGUUGUUUUCAACAUUCGACACCCAGAUGAAAAUUUAGAUAAUUUGUUGAUUGGAUGACCGGAUAAUGGCUAUCUUUUUCUUUUCUUUUUUUUGAAAAACUUCCCAUGUAUCGGAAUAUAUAUUUGUGUGUAGAUGUGUGUAUUCGUGUUGAAUGUGAUGCUGCAAAUCCUAUGCUUUGGGAAGAUGAUUUGAGUAUGAUCUUUAAGUUUAUCAAAGUUUGAGAUUACGAUGAAUGAGUGUGUCCCUAUUACUAUGAAUGUAUAUUGAGAGGAAAUGUGUCAAGUGGUGCUAUGCUCUUUCAGAAUGUUACUGCUCUAUCAGACUUGUAAUGCUCUUGUUUUCAUGUUUAAUGCUAUUUUAAUUUUUAUUGUAUCCUUGAUGUUCUUUGAGUUUUUCUAUGAGAGUUGAACCGUGCGUUGCUUCUCUAUUAGUUCCAAUAAAAACAUUAUGUCUUUUGAGUGCCUCAGUUGUGUUUCCAGAUAGAUCUCAUAUUUGAUUAAUUGUGUUACAUGUCAUGGUCAGGUUUAAAUCGACAUUAUUAAUGGAUUCUUUUGAUAUUUAAUUCAUUUUUUAUCUGUUGGUCAUUUGUCCCUUCAUUAAGGAACCUAGAAACCUCUACAUUGUAUGUUUCUUUGUAGAGGGUAACCGAAGUUAAUGGUUGGCUGUAUAUUUUUAUCCAGAAGAAAUGUUAUUGUUCUAUUUUGAUUUUCAUUCUUUUAUGCUUGUAUAACACAUGUUCAGACUACUCUAUGUUUGUGUAACUAGAAUUAUCUGAACUUUGCUUGGAUUCCUUGUUACCAUCAUCAUCAUCAUAUUAUUUUUCUCACACUUCUCGGUGUUUGGCUUCCUAGAGGCAUGGCAUUUCAUUGAAACUAAUCCCUCUUCAGUUGGUAAAUUUUGAAAAAGGAAAUAAAAAACAGAAUUGACGAAGGGAUUUGCUAUGGUAGUUGUUUUAGUCCUAUAUGGCGGUAGUUAGUUAGGAUCAUUGUGCUCUUGGGGUCUUAUUUUCUUGCUUUAGACUUCUCCAUGUUUUGCGUAUUUACCAGUAAUCUACAGCUUCAGUGCAAGCUGCUGCAUAUGUGCUUGUUACUGCCGUGAGCAUAAUGUUUAUGUGUCUUGGUGUGGAAGCUUGGCAAUUUAUGAAAGAUGUUCGCUUUUUACUUAUCUGGUGACAGUAAGACUAAUUGUGACAUUAUUUCUUCGAAAUUCUCAUUUGGUUCUGAACAGUAAAAGAUUCCCCAUAUGAUUUGGUGAUAGUUUUGAUGCCCUUUCAAGAAUAGAGCUUAGCCUCCUAAGAGUUUAUUCAUUUGAUACGUGUAAUUAGACAAUUGAAAAUAUAGUAUUGGAGUCUGUUUUGGACUUCAAUCUCUUUUUUAUUUUAUCAAACGUGAUUUGAGUGUUUACUUGGAAGGUCAUUAGACAAAAAUGAACUUGAAUGUUAUGUUUUUUUACCAACAUUUUGUAUAUUGUAUGACCAAUGUUGGCUAUUUUCCUUGCAGUUGGCAAUAUAUGUCCCGAACUCAUCUUUACAACUGCAUCGAGCACUGGGUAUUUGCUGAUGUAACGUUUACCUGCUCAACUUGGCAACUGGGAAGAUGCAGAUGUCAAUGUUAGAGAUUUUGAUCCAGGCAAUGAGGUUAUUAUAUCAACUAUUUUACAGAAAAGGGUUCUACAAAUCUGAAGUAAACUUUCCAACUGAGUGGUUGUUUGCAUGUACAUUUGUGAGGCAUUUUUAUUAAAUCAUGAUCAUGAGCAAUAUCAAAGUAAAAUUUUUUGAGGCUUUGCUAUCUUGUGCUUUUCAAGUAUCAUACAAAUGUCUAAUCUUUUAUGCAAUAAUAAACUACCAAAAUAUUUAACUGGUGGUUCACCAAAGCUUGGAUGGGCAUUGCAAGUUCAUGCAAGUAGUCAUGGUAAAGGCCUCAAAAAACUUAGUUAGAUAAGCCAUAAAAAGUUUGCAUUUGUAAUAUUGAAAGUGUAAGUGCUGCGAUAAGUUAAAUGAGCGCUUCCUCGUGUCAACACAGGGAAGAUUGUCAAGUUAUCCCUUAUUUUACUAUUUUCUUAAUGCUUAAUAAUUUUCCUAAACUAUUAUUUUUAUUUUUUAAAUAUUUUUUAAUGAUAUGUAUUUUAUAUUUUGAAAAUCGAAU